AGUGAACGCUGGCGGUAGGCCUAACACAUGCAAGUCGAACGGCAGCACAGUAAGAGCUUGCUCUUACGGGUGGCGAGUGGCGGACGGGUGAGGAAUACAUCGGAAUCUACUUUUUCGUGGGGGAUAACGUAGGGAAACUUACGCUAAUACCGCAUACGACCUACGGGUGAAAGAAGGGGAUCUUCGGACCUUGCGCGAUUGAAUGAGCCGAUGUCGGAUUAGCUAGUUGUCGGGGUAAAGGCCCACCAAGGCGACGAUCCGUAGCUGGUCUGAGAGGAUGAUCAGCCACACUGGAACUGAGACACGGUCCAGACUCCUACGGGAGGCAGCAGUGGGGAAUAUUGGACAAUGGGCGCAAGCCUGAUCCAGCCAUACCGCGUGGGUGAAGAAGGCCUUCGGGUUGUAAAGCCCUUUUGUUGGGAAAGAAAAGCAGCAGGUUAAUACCCCGCUGUUCUGACGGUACCCAAAGAAUAAGCACCGGCUAACUUCGUG
rnacentral:rRNA from 1 species